UUGACAUUGACAUUUUUAUUCUUAAUUCACACGGCGGUUGGUAAUGCCACUGAACUGGAGCAAAGAGGUUUAUUGAACAAAAUUCGGGACGAAAUCGCCGACUCUGUUUUAUAUUUAACGCAAUUGUUAGAAAGAUUUAAUAAUGAAUAUUUUGCUAAAACUGCAUUUGGUAAAUACAUUAAUUAUGACCAAAUUAAACCCAGAUUGUACUCAACGGGGUUAGAAGAAUCCCGUGGUAUGAAGAAAAUGGCUAUGGGAAUGAUGCCACUGAUCUUCCACGUAGGGGCCACGUCGACCUGGAUGAUAUUGACUACGAUUCUAGCGGCGAAAUCCGUGUUUAUUGGUAUCAUCUUACUCGUGUGCAAGAUUGCUGUUAGUGCAGCUAAGGUCGGAUCAUUCUUCACAACCUUAAAAGCACAUUCUAGUCACGGUCAUCAUCACGAGUGGGCGUGGUCGCCACCGCAUGAGCAUCAUGGAUAUAGAAGUUUAAAUGGAAUCAGUGGGUAAUAUAAAUACAGAUAUUGGCUCACCAGGUCCCAUUUAUGAAUCGGGUCACGGCUGGGGCGAAACGUCAUACAAAUCCAUACCCACUGAAUAUUUGGAGCAUCAAGUCGAUAAAAAAUCAAGAAUAGGAUAAAAU